GUUAAUUUUGAGGUGCUAAACUAGCACCAACGUAGGUGUCAAAUCAGCACAAUGCAGUGGUGCUAAAUAGAAAGUGCUAUUUUGACACCAAUUUCGGCGCUAAUUUAACACCAUCAAAUCUGACAUUACGCUAAAAGUGCCAAUAUGACACCGUUUAAAUUCAGCACCAUUGUAAUGUGUUGAAAUAACACCUCUGUUGCCGACGGAAAGUGCUAAAAUAACGCUAUAUUGAGAGCUAAAGUACGGGGUGUCAAAAUAACACUAAAUGGCGGAUAGGAAAAAAGCGGUUCUUUAAGUAAUUAUUGGAAAAUAAGUCCGUAUUUUCGAUUCAGAUGUUUUGGAACAAGAAAUUCCUGUGCGUUUUGGCACAACUAUUCAUCUGAGUGAUCUGACGACAUGGAAAUUCGACUUGUUCUGAUACAAAAAAACCGAUAGAGACGAAUACUAGACAAAUGGUAGAUCGAUAGUAUCGAUAUUCGAUAGUGAUCCAUUGUCCUUUUCAUUUUAUCAAACUAUGUUAUUCCGGGCUAUAUUUUCGGACUGCCUAUGUAUUGAUUGCUACAAAGUAUUUAUUUCGCAAUCGCCUGCGCUAUAUGUAUGUCCAUAUAAGGAACAAAAUGUAACACGUGAUCAGCGCCUGUAUGCAAAUUUUUGAGCGCGUCGUUUGAAAACUCUUUUGAAACGUACUUCAUAGUUCAUACUGCCAUGUUGAAGACGUUUUGAGCGUAUUUUCUUAACUAUUUUGGUACUUCUGAAUAUGCUGAACAACAACGAACUCACAUAAGGAAAUAUCAAGACAAUUGGCUAUGACAUUAUCUCAGAAAUAUCUUGAGAAGCCAAAUGAAUUCUACUUUUAAUACUGCGAUGAUCUCUUUAGCAAUCUGGGUCAAAGAAAAUAUCAUUGCAAUAAUAGUUUUCACCAAGAGUGAACAAAGGCUUCAAUGUGGAAAAUUAAGGGGAAACUGUAAUUCUAAUGAUUGAUGAUUCACAAGGGAAUAAGGGAUAUUUACUGUCAACAAUGAAGUGUAUACAAUUAAUGUAUCCAACCAUGGAAGAAAAACGAAAUAUUUCACCUAUGAUAAUUUAGAAAUAUCCCUUCCUUGCUGACUCAAUUGUGGUGGAACAGUAAGUGAUAACCUUGUUGUUAUACAUAAUCUUUAUGAUUAUCUAUGUGUACCACCUCUAUGAUACCCCGGAUCUGACUUGUUAAACAUCUGGAAUGGAUCUGACUUGUUAAACAUGUCGAUAAUUCAAUUUAUUUUGAUACAGGGUUCAUGGAUCAUAACAAGGCCAAGGGUAGAAACAAUUUAACAAAAAUAUCCUGCACUCCAGCUUAUUACAGAGGUAAGUUUGCUUUUAGUUUACAGCAUUCAUAUUGAUAAGGUACCUGUUUGAUUGAUAUCAAGUGCUCUAUUUCAACACUUUGCUAUAAUUCUUGUUGAGAAACUAUCCAAACAGAUAAUUGACUGCCAAAUUUCUUUGUUCGACAUAAUACCCAUGUGUGCUAGUUGGCAACUUUUUAGUUAGCCUGUCAUAUUUCGUGUAAAAUUCUCAUUGAUAUUUUAGUUAAUUGACAGAGUAUGGGUUCUAAAUUACCAGUAAAAUAAUUUUCUUUCACAAUGUAUCUAGCAUACUGUAUUAAUUCUUUUUCAGGUAAAAACUGAAUUUUAAAGAGUAAACUACAAGUUGAUCCAUGAUAUGGUUGGCAAAUUUCAAUCCAUUGAUUCAGAAAAAUGUUUUGGACUAUGCCAAGAAAUGUAACAAGAAAACUACAUUGGUUCUUAUAAACAGAGUGGAGAGAGCAAUUGCUGGGAAAUCAGGUAAAUCAUGCAAUUAAUAAUAAUUUGUCAAAACCAAUUGAUAGCACAAUUACAAUAUUAUAGCAAUACAGGCUAUUGCUACAUGAAAUAUGGCCUAUUUAGAAUCUAUCUAUAUUGAUAAACAAUUUUUUUAACAGACAUCAAGAGCAGAGUUGCUUAGAUUUUGAAGGAACUAUUGAAGGAGAAUGCAGGAGAAUCUCAGUCUCUCUUCUUUAAGAUUUGUUCUGUUGUUGAUUCCAUAGAUCAGGAUAAUUGGUUCAGAAGACCUUUCAGAUGUUCAAACUUUGAUGAUUGCGGUGGAGGGGCAAAUGUUAACUUAUUCAAGAACAGACUCAACCUUAUUUUAUCUACUAAACAUGGAGUACAUUGCUGGUGUGGCAAAUGGAAACUGCUCUCGUCAGGAAGCCUUAGCCUUAGGACAAAAACUUUUAAAGGACGUUAAGUACCCUAGACAUUUUAUACACUCUUGUACAUAGAUUUUCCUGUCACAACAUAUGUAGAAAUAAAUAUUUUUAAAUCGCAUUUUGUCCACUUUGUAUGAUUAUAGCUUAUGCUAUUUAGUCGCUCCAUUGCUAGCGCUAAAAGUGCAAAAACUAAACCACACAAACUUCGGGUGUUAGAUUAACACCAUAAAUUGGCGUAAAAGUAGCACCAAAGAUCGUGCUAAUUUGACACCUUAUUUCGCGGUGUCAAUUUAGCACCCGAAAUGGUGUUAUUCUGUACCUUUUUAUCUGACACCUUUUUUGGUGUCAA